rnacentral:tRNA from 1 species
AUUUAAAUAGCUUAUAUUAAAGCAUAAUAUUGAAGAUAUUAAAAAAAUAUUUUUAUUUUUGAAUA